GCGCUGUCUGUUUUGGAUAUCUGCCUGUAAUUCUGUCGGCCUGUAUGUUGGAUUUUGUGUUUUCCCUUGCCCUUGUGGAGUCUUGUUGGGACCCAGUCACUGCUUCAAAAAAACUCAGACUCAGACCACAGCUGUGUUCUGCAAAGACAAGCUCCCAUCGCUGCCAAGAGGUUCUCAUAUCAUGCAGCAAACAGCACCAGUGUGGAAACUCAGUGCCCCCUUAAUAGGGACCCAUCGCCAGGGGAUUGAACUCCAGAAGAGUUUGCUUUGGCGGAGGCGGUCUUUAUCGGCCUCUGGUGGCGACCCGUAGGAGCUACACAGACAUCCAGGAUAUGUAUGGAUUCGUCUCGUGGAGACCAAUAAAAAGAGCCCACUUGUAGGAUGUUCUGUUCUCAAGCUGUGGCCUGUAAAGCACAGGAGUGCUUUUAGUCACAGGAAUAUUGACUGUUUUUAUAAUAAUUCAAUGUUUUGGAAGCUUUGUUAUUUGGAACG